AACGAACGUUAGCGGCGCGCUUAACACAUGCAAGUCGAACGAGAAAGGGCUUCGGCCCCGGUACAGUGGCGCACGGGUGAGUAACACGUGGGUAACCUUCCCUCGAGCGGGGGAUAACGUUCCGAAAGGAACGCUAAUACCGCAUAAGACCACGGCUUCGAGAGGAGCUGAGGUAAAAGUAGGCCUCUGAAUUCACGCUUACACUCGAGGAUGGGCCCGCGGCCCAUCAUGGUAGUUGGUAGGGUAACGGCCUACCAAGCCGAAGACGGGUAGCUGGUCUUAGAGGAUGAGCAGCCACCCUGGAACUGAGAGACGGUCAAGACUCCUACGGGAGGCAGCAGUGGGGAAUCUUGCGCAAUGGGCGAAAGCCUGACGCAGCGACGCCGCGUGGGUGAUGAAGGCCUUCGGGUCGUAAAGCUCUGUGGGGAGAGACGAAUAAAGCAGGAAUAACACUCCUGACGAUGACGGUAUCUCCUUAGCAAGCACCGGCUAACUCUGUGCCAGCAGCCGCCGUAAAAC
rnacentral:rRNA from 1 species